rnacentral:rRNA from 1 species
CUACGGGAGGCACCAGUGAGGAAUAUUGCACAAUGGGGGGAACCCUGAUGCAGCAACGCCGCGUGGAGGAUGACGCAUUUCGGUGUGUAAACUCCUUUUAUAUGUCAAGAAAAUGACGGUAGCAUAUGAAUAAGCACCGGCUAACUCCGUGCCAGCAGCCGCGGUAAUACGGAGGGUGCAAGCGUUACUCGGAAUCACUGGGCGUAAAGGACGCGUAGGCGGGUUGGAAAGUCAGGUGUGAAAUCCUACAGCUUAACUGUAGAACUGCACUUGAAACUUCUAAUCUAGAGUAUGGGAGGUGGAGAUGGAAUUAGUGGUGUAGGGGUAAAAUCCGUAGAUAUCACUAGGAAUACCUGAAGCGAAGGCGAUCUCCUGGAACAUUACUGACGCUAAGGCGUGAAAGCGUGGGGAGCAAACAGGAUUAGAUACCCGCGUAGUC